UUGGCCACACCCACGGCCCAUGAAAGUUCCCGGGCCAGGGAUGGAAUCCGAGCUGCCACAGAGACAACACCUGAUCAUUAGCCCCCUGCGCCACUGCGGUAACUCCAGAUUAUUUCUUAAAAAAAAAAAAAUUAAGAGCUGAUGCCAGGUCUGAGAGCAUCUUGAGAAACCUUUUCCAGUAAGUGGUAUUUCGAUUCUCUCAGCACAACUAUGACUGAGAUCCACAGUCUAGAAAGAAACCCCGGCCUCGGCAAAUGCGCCUUCUCUCUGUGGACUUCCAAGAGCUGAGCUCUGACGCACAGGAGCUCCAGGCUCCCCCCAGGCCGAGAGCGCUCUCGCCCGGUGCAUGAACAGACACCCUCCUGACCAGGACACCUCACAACCGCAGGAAUCAUUUAAAGGAGCUGGAUGCUUCAGGAGCAUGUUAAGCCACAAAUCAAACGGAAAAGCAGCCCUGCAAACCGGCCAGAGUCACAGGCCCGCGCUUCUGCCUCUCCUUCGGGCAGGGGCCCUCCUGGAGACGGGCCCUCUCGGCCACCCGGGCCUGCACGCGGCCUGGCCCACGGCAUCCUGGAACCCCCACCAGCACGGCUCUCUCUACUGGACAAGCGAAUGGAGGACGCGCCUUUAUCUACAAACGCUCAGGCCUCUGUGAAACGAUGGCACAAAAUCACCACUCUCCGCCUGCCAUGGGGGGCCCAGCGUCCACUCACGUUGGGCUCUUGGGGUCGAGAACCUCAGCCUCAUGCCCACACGUGGGCCCUUCUCUGCUUUUGGAACUAGAUGCUCGCGUGCCGUCUGAACGUCCUUCUUCUGAGCAGGGAGCAUGAGCCGCCCGGCUCUCCUCCACCCCUCAGGGGCUGCACUCAGCUGCCCGCGACUCCAGCCACAGCCACCUCAGGCAAGGGCCACCUGUCCCACCCCCCAGGCCCUGAGCAUUCCGUCUCAAACAUCCCUGUGCCUCCGCAGGAACUUUCCAGGCAUGUGGAAAGAGGGCGGCAGCCCCAGGGAGACGGCCUCCGAGCAGCCUCACCUCCUAGGCAGUCAGGGAGCCGCCCCUGGGUGCCUGAAACUGGGCUUGGGUUUCUGGCAACAGCCUCUUUAAACAGCGAGGUUCCUUUGGGUUGGGAGACACGGGCAGACGAGCACCCCAGCGAGUGUGGGCCGCGGGCCCGCCGGAUACCGCACAGCCCCGCCUCAGACAGCCCUCCUGAUGUUUGCCCCACGCCGCCCCUUCUGCUCUGGGGCUCCUUGCCAUGGUGGCUGCGCCCCACCAGGCACAAGGGGGCCUGGGGAGGAGGCCGUCCGUGCCGUGACCCCGAGGACAGCCGUAGGCACAUUCGCCUCAGCCACAGGAAGUGGCCGCCUGCCUGUGACCUGAGCAAACGAAGCGGCCACGUCAACAGCAGCGCAGGGAAGCCCUGUGCCCCUGCAGACAGACACCGCGUGGCCCUGCGCGCUCCCGCUCGGCUCCCGGCCAGCGCUCCGCAAAGACGGCCCCCACGCGGCCUCCGGGUCUCUGAGCAGCACCGCGGGGCCCCAGCCCUCCCCGCAGGCGGCCCGCGAGCUCAGCUGCCCGCGGGCACAGCACUGGGUCACCCUGGGGUCUCGCCCUCGCCUCUUCCUCAGCUGACUCCUGACACACCUAUGGGACCUCGGCCAUCAGGCUGUACCUUCAAGUGAAGGCCUUUGGGGCGGGAGCCUGGGCUCCGGGCGACGCCUGCCGACCUCGGGCCACCUUUCCGGCACCUCCUGUCAGCAGUCAAGCCGCCCCAGCUGGGUCCCGGGACGCGAGCAUCGCUGCAGAGGUCUUCCACGCCCGCAGGGAUGGCGAGACGGGCACCGUGCUGGCCCUGGGUCCCCCUGCCUCGGAGCAGAGCCACCCAGGAGCCCUCGGCCACCGGCCACACUCUGAAGCGCCCACCUCUGGGUCUCCUCUGCCCCCGUGUGCACAGUCCCGUCAAAAGGACCCCUCUCCAGGCCAAAGCAAAGUCUAUACUUUGGAUAAAAAUGGAAUGAUGGGGAUUUUAUGAUUUUUAUUGUUAUAACCACACGGUCACAAGAGCAAACCGCUAAGUCCCUGCCGGGCGCC
ensembl:lncRNA